UUCAGCGACCACCUAGACGCCGGCCACCACAUCGCGCAACCAGCCACGGUCUCGUCGUCAGUCACCCAAGGCCACCAUUCACGACCAUCAACACCGAGAAACCCAGCUUUGCCACGAUCCCAACCGGAACUGUCAACAGGCACGUAUAUCUUCAUCGUUCUCGCACACCACGCUAGUUCGCCAUCGUCGUCAGCCACCACCUGCACAACCAACAAACCACAAACAGAUCUGACUACUUCCGGUGAGCCACCAUCUUCUUCGUCCAUCAUCUCACUGUCAUCGCAAAUCGCAACACACUGCAACCUCCAUGUUCGAACCUCAUCGCACAGCACCAGGAAUCGAAAAUCACGAUUUCCUUCAUCACAAUGCAAAGUCGUCUUCGAACUCUCAGGCCACCAUAACCUCUACCAUUGCGCAGCCAUCAUAAUCACCUCCGCAGGCGCNGCCAACCUCGUCGCAGCACCAUCCCAACCGGCGUGUCAAUAGCCACCCAAACCUGUAAAAACCAGAGUCACCAAGAGCAACCUUCGUAGAGGCGCAGAGGCACAAGUUUUUCCCUUUCCC
rnacentral:lncRNA from 1 species